AAAGGAAACAAAAUGAAGAGAGAAGAAAGAGACCUUGAGCUAGCAUAGUCGUAGAGCUUGCCAGUGGAAGAAAAGACAAUGAGACCAAUCUCAGCAUCACAGAGCGUAGCAAGUUCCCUAGUUUUCUUGAAAAGCCCUCUUCUUCUCUUUGA